AAACGCCCAGCAGCCGCGGACUGCGCUCACCGCCUGCAGCGCGGGAACCCCUGCGCGCCAAGCCCGGUGGGUUCCCGCUCCCAAGUGCCUGGACCCCGUCAGUUCCACCUGUCCCAAGUCUCAGCCGUGAGACCCAAGCAGGUGACUUUCUGUUUAGCGGCCCCUGGGGUUCCCGACACCCUUUGACGUCCCGUCUAAGCUGUCGCUGGCGCAAGAGAAAAGAGGCCUCCAACAAGUUGGCGGAGCUGCCCUCGCUGCCCGCCCCCGCACCGUCCGCCUUUCCCUCUCCUGGUGCAAUUCGUUUCCUUAAGGGGCAGUAACAUGGGUCCCACGUUUUCUUGCGUUUCCUCCCACGGAAGCGGGCAUCCUGGAAGCAAUGCGUCCUUGGAAAGUCGAUGAGUUUACGGGCUGUUUGGAUUUACUUGUUUUACUACUGUCAUUUUUUUUUUUUCUUUCGGAUUUUUUUUUCUUUUUUUAAAAGCAGAAGCGGAGAACUCGAGAUGGGAGUUGGAAGAAAGAUGGGUCGUUGAAGAAGAGAACAGGACAAGUAUACUUUUUUUCCAACUAUAUUUCUCUAAUUAAUGCUAGAAACAGCAAAGGACCGAUUUUCAAUACAUUAAAUGCAACAGGAAAUUUUCCUUUCCUCGCACUAUGAUUGAACCAGCCCCACAGUAUCUUUGGAAGAAAGUUUGAAUUCUUUAAGGAGACUGUCCCCUCAAAUAGCUGAAGCCUGAGACAUUUGAUAUAUGUAAAACUGGCUGCUGCAACUAGAUCUUAACACUGCAGUUUGAACAGGCCUGAACCCAACCUGGUUGGCUGAGAGCAGUGACCUCCCAACUCAUCGUUGCCACUCCCCUUUCUUGGGGCUGGACCUUGCCUCUGCCAUCCCUCAUAUUGACUCUGACAGGCCAACCUAACCUACGCCAGCCAAGCCACUCACCAGAAGCUGAGCCCUGUUGCUGCCUGGAAGCCCUGGUGCCCAUUCUACCUUCUGGUUCAGGACCACUCAAGGACAGAUUCCAGUCCAGGCCACCAACCAAGCUUUGCCUUCGUGGACUUGAAAAUCCUAGAGGGACUUCCCUGGUGGCGCAGUGGUUAAGAAUCCGCCUGCCAAUGCAGGGGACACAGGUUCAAUCCCUGGUCCGGGAAGAUCCCACAUGCUGAGGAGCAACUAAGCCCAUGGGCCACAACUACUGAAGCCUGCACGCCUAGAGCCCGUGUCUGCAACAAGAGAAGCCACCGCAAUGAGAAGUCCGCGCACCGCAACGAAGAGUAGCCUCCGCUCACUGCAACUAGAGAAAGUCCACACGGAGCACCGAAGACCCAACACAGCCAAAAAUGUUUGCCAGAGUCCUGGGAGUAUCUGAGAAGCUGGAGGGAAGUGCUGAAGAGCUUCACCCACCACACAGCCCUCACUUGCACUUCCUUGCAAGGCUUAUCAUAUAAAAAAACAUUUUUACUGCAGCUCACCCUGCCACCUGCACAGUGCUGGGGGUCAAUAAGCAGCUCCAGGCUUAUGUCGCAUCCCAUGAGCAGCCCCAGAAGUUCCAAUGAAGUUAUGAAUAGGCAUCUCAUUGGAAGAACUUGGGACAUGUGUCCAUCACUCUGACCUAACACUGUGGACAGGAAAAUAAGACAUGCUGAAUGGGCAAGGCUGGGUUCCAUGUCCACCUCUGGAGCCCUACCUGAACCACUUGAACUAAGAGUGGGAAAGAAGCUUCUCAAAAGGAAAACUGGGAGUAAAUGAAGCAGGCCAAAGUAGCAAAUGUCUCUUACAGAGAGCAAAUUAUGUUAGUGACAUUUAGAAGGUGUAAGGCACAAGACAUGAGAGAACAAUUGGCUUAUUUUGGUGAGGGGCAGGAAAGACUCUGAAAUAACACUCUAAUUCAAUGCUUGAGUGGCUGGGUAUGAUGUUAGCACUAAGCAAGCUGGUGACCAUACAUGCAAGACCAGGUUGGAGAUGGGAGGGGGGCUGAGAAGUUUAGAAGUAAUAAUAAUAAUAAUAAUAAUAAUAAUAAUAAUAAUAAUAAUAAACAAC